GGGCACUCUAUAUGCCCAUCCCUUGGGACACGAGUCCCAAAGAGUUUCACACCCAAGGUGUUGGGCAUCCCAUAAUUUGCUAGUUGUUGAUGUUUUGUAGCAGUACAAAGUAAGGAGAAACUCUAGAAAAGAAGAGAAAAAAGAAGAUCAAGAAGAAAGAUCAAGCGUUGAUCGUAAUUCAGGCUUCAUUCAGAUUCAGCAGGCUAAAUUUUAGGAGAAUCAAAAUUCAGAUUAAAGAGGAUUGUUCGAGGCUGAUCCCAAGUAGGUACUCAUAGAGGUUGGACACUUAUGCAGUUAAGA
rnacentral:lncRNA from 1 species